rnacentral:rRNA from 1 species
UAAAAAAUUUUGGCGGUAUUUUAAGCUUAUUAGAGGAAUUUGCUCUGUGAUGGACACAACGCCUUAAUCUUACUUAAUUUAGUAAUUUAAAUCAGUUUGUAUACCACUAUAUUAAUUAUAUUGAAUAGUUAUAUUUAAAAUUUUUUUUUAAAAAAUAUAUUAAGUCAAGGUGCAUCUAAUAAUUAUGAAUGAAGUGAAUUACAUUAAUUUUAAUGUAAUUUUUUACAUGAAAAAAUUAAUUAGGAUUUAAUAGUAAAAUACUAAUAUUAUGAGUAUUUGAAUCAAGCUCUAAAAUAUGCACAUAUCGCCCGUCGCUCUCAGAAGUGAGAUAAGUCGUAACAAAGUAAAAAUACUGGAAAGUGUUUUUUAAAAUGAAAUCAUUUGAUGUUUCAUUUACAAUGAAAAUUUUGUUGUUUAACCAUUUUAA